rnacentral:rRNA from 1 species
GAUGAACGCUGGCGGCGUGCCUAAUACAUGCAAGUCGAGCGAACGGACGGGAAGCUUGCUUCUCUGAUGUUAGCGGCGGACGGGUGAGUAACACGUGGAUAACCUACCUAUAAGACUGGGAUAACUUCGGGAAACCGGAGCUAAUACCGGAUAAUAUUUUGAACCGCAUGGUUCAAAAGUGAAAGACGGUCUUGCUGCCACUUAUAGAUGGAUCCGCGCUGCAUUAGCUAGUUGGUAAGGUAACGGCUUACCAAGGCAACGAUGCAUAGCCGACCUGAGAGGGUGAUCGGCCACACUGGAACUGAGACACGGUCCAGACUCCUACGGGAGGCAGCAGUAGGGAAUCUUCCGCAAUGGGCGAAAGCCUGACGGAGCAACGCCGCGUGAGUGAUGAAGGUCUUCGGAUCGUAAAACUCUGUUAUUAGGGAAGAACAUAUGUGUAAGUAACUGUGCACAUCUUGACGGUACCUAAUCAGAAAGCCACGGCUAACUACGUG